rnacentral:rRNA from 1 species
UACGAAGGGGGCGAGCGUUGUUCGGAUUUACUGGGCGUAAAGGGCGCGCAGGCGGCUCAUUUUGUCAGGCGUGAAAGCCCCGGGCUUAACCUGGGAACUGCGUUUGAUACGGAUGGGCUAGAGUUCGGGAGAGGAGAGUGGAAUUCCCAGUGUAGAGGUGAAAUUCGUAGAUAUUGGGAAGAACACCGGUGGCGAAGGCGGCUCUCUGGACCGAUACUGACGCUGAGGCGCGAAAGCUAGGGGAGCAAACAGG